rnacentral:lncRNA from 1 species
GCACGAGGCUGAGCGGUUACCUGGGCCCAACUAUUCUGUACUAGCCUGGCCCGGAAACCACAGAAUUUCCCCAGAUCCACACAAGCCUCCUAGCCGAGGACGGGAGCAGCUCCUGGUGCAGAGUGGCACCUUCAGGGUCAUCCAGGCCCUGCUCACGCCCGCCAGCCCUUUGCUGAAAGAUCAAGGUCACCUCCUGCUGCCCAGGUCACCUCCUCUGCUGUCCAGGUCACUCCUCUGCUGCCCAGAUCACCUCCUGUGCUGUCCAGGUCACCUCCUCUGCUGUCCAGGUCACUCCUCUGCUGCCCAGGUCACCUCUGCUGUCCAGGCCACCUCCUCUGCUGUCCAGGUCACUUCUGCUGCCCAGGUCACCUCUGCUGUCCAGGUCACUUCUGCUGCCCAGGUCACCUCUGCUGUCCAGGUCACCUCCUCUGCUGCCCAGGUCACCUCCUCUGCUGCCCAGGUCACCUCUACUGCCCAAGUCACCUCCUCACCCAGGCAGCUGAGGGUCCCUUCAGACACCGCGCUCGUCAACCCGGAAUUCCCUGUAGGUUCUUUGGGCGGCUUCUGUUUCCGUGGUCAGCAGUCUUGGCCCGCGGGCUGUGUUGGGGCCAGCUCUGCUCUCUGCUGUGUGGCCGCAGGCCUGAGUCCUUCUGUGCGUCCCGGACGAGGCGUUCACGGCCCGUGUGCUCCUGGCCGACAUGUCGCUACCCCUGCGAGACAGGUGGCGUCCAGCCUGCACCCCGGUCAGCAAGCCUGGCCCAGUUCCGCUCCCUGCUGACGCGCAGCCCAGGGGCAGCAGCCACGGCUGCCCUGCUUGUGCCCUGCCGCCCACGUGGGAGGCCUGGAUGGAGCCCCUGCCCCUGGCCCUGGCCUGGCCCAGCCCAGCUGUUGCAGGCAUCUGGGGGUGAGGCAGUGGAGGGAGAUGUGCCGUCCCUGUCUCCCCAGCAGACAGGUAGGCGCCAUCCAGUGCGUCAGGACCUGUUUCCCUGGUGCCCUUGCGUAGGUGCUAGCAGCAGCUUUGAGGCCGUUCUCUGGGUCGACCCAGAGUCUCUGCCUGAUCUUCGUCUGGGGCCGGCACCGCGGCUCACUAGGCUAAUCCUCCGCCUGCAGCGCCAGCACCCCGGGUUCUAGUUCUGGUUGGGGUGCCGGUUCUGUCCCGAUCACUCUUCUUCCAGUCCAGCUCUCUGCUGUGGCCUGGGAGUGCAGUGGAGGAUGCCCAAGUGCUUGGGCCCUGCACCCCAUGGGAGACCAGGAGAAGCACCUGGCUCCUGGCUUCAGAUUGGCGCAUCAUGCUGGCCGUGGUGGUCACUUGAGGGGUGAACCAAUGGAAAGGAAGGCCUUUCUCUGUCUCUUUCUGACUGUCUAACUGCCUGUCAAAAAAAAAAAUUAAAAAAUUAAAACUAAUCUUCGUCUGGGACCGUGUGACGGACGUCACAUCUGGGGGUGGUGUCGUUGUACCAGGCAGUCCACUUGGGUGGGCUGAGGGUCCGCUUGCGUCCUCCCAAGCUCCCGAGAGCUCACACGGGGGCCGGGCUUGCUCCUUCCAGGAGUGCUUCCCACGUGCCAAAUAGCCGCAGGAGGCAGGGACCUUGCUGUGAGCUUGUCCCUUCUCCGGGCCGGGGCCCCUGUGUCGUGUCUGCUCCUCCGGGGCUGCUGCCGGGACAGCCCCAGCCGGCAGCCCCAGGCCCAGGAGGCCGUGAGGACGCCGGGACUGGCAGCCAGAGCCCCCGCAAGGACGGGCUGUGGCGCAGUGACAGGCGGGGGGUCGAGAGGGCAGCGUGGUGUGGGUGGCCGCUGGGCUCCAGCUUCUGGGGACCCGAGCCCUUGCUGCUUGCCGUGACUGAUGCGCACAGUCCUGGGGGUGGCUGCCGCUCUCGGGGGACAGCGUCGGGGACCCUGCUCUCCCACUGCCCGCACUGGGCCGCUGCCCACAGGGGUUCUCACCUGGGUUUUCUAAGUCGACCCCGGAGGCCACUUGUGUCAGGAGGUUGGGUCCUGGGACAGCCGCACUCAACACUGGUUAGUCCCCCCCCCUCCACUUUAGGUUUUAAAGAUUUUAAAAUUUAUUUUAUUUGAAAGGCAGAGUUACAGAUAGAAUAAGAGACAGAGAGAGAGAGAGAGAGAGGUCUUC